AAACGACUCUCGGCAACGGAUAUCUCGGCUCUCGCAUCGAUGAAGAACGUAGCGAAAUGCGAUACUUGGUGUGAAUUGCAAAAUCCCGUGAACCAUCGAGUCUUUGAACGCAAGUUGCGCCCCAAGCCUUCUGGCCGAGGGCACGUCUGCCUGGGUGUCAC
rnacentral:rRNA from 1 species